rnacentral:rRNA from 1 species
GAUGAACGCUGGCGGCGUGCCUAAUACAUGCAAGUCGAGCGAACAGACGAGGAGCUUGCUCCUCUGACGUUAGCGGCGGACGGGUGAGUAACACGUGGAUAACCUACCUAUAAGACUGGGAUAACUUCGGGAAACCGGAGCUAAUACCGGAUAAUAUAUUGAACCGCAUGGUUCAAUAGUGAAAGACGGUUUUGCUGUCACUUAUAGAUGGAUCCGCGCCGCAUUAGCUAGUUGGUAAGGUAACGGCUUACCAAGGCAACGAUGCGUAGCCGACCUGAGAGGGUGAUCGGCCACACUGGAACUGAGACACGGUCCAGACUCCUACGGGAGGCAGCAGUAGGGAAUCUUCCGCAAUGGGCGAAAGCCUGACGGAGCAACGCCGCGUGAGUGAUGAAGGUCUUCGGAGCGUAAAACUCUGUUAUUAGGGAAGAACAAAUGUGUAAGUAACUAUGCACGUCUUGACGGUACCUAAUCAGAAAGCCACGGCUAACUACG